GAUGAACGCUGGCGGCGUGCCUAAUACAUGCAAGUCGAGCGAACAGACGAGGAGCUUGCUCCUCUGACGUUAGCGGCGACGGGUGAGUAACACGUGGAUAACCUACCUAUAAGACUGGGAUAACUUCGGGAAACCGGAGCUAAUACCGGAUAAUAUAUUGAACCGCAUGGUUCAAUAGUGAAAGACGGUUUUGCUGUCACUUAUAGAUGGAUCCGCGCCGCAUUAGCUAGUUGGUAAGGUAACGGCUUACCAAGGCAACGAUGCGUAGCCGACCUGAGAGGGUGAUCGGCCACACUGGAACUGAGACACGGUCCAGACUCCUACGGGAGGCAGCAGUAGGGAAUCUUCCGCAAUGGGCGAAAGCCUGACGGAGCAACGCCGCGUGAGUGAUGAAGGUCUUCGGAUCGUAAAACUCUGUUAUUAGGGAAGAACAAAUGUGUAAGUAACUAUGCACGUCUUGACGGUACCUAAUCAGAAAGCCACGGCUAACUACGUG
rnacentral:rRNA from 1 species